UAUAAUAAAACUUAAAGGACGCAGUAUCCUGACUGUGAUAAUGUAGCAUAAUCACUCGCCACUUAAUUGGUGGAUAGUAUGAAUGGUUGAACGAAUAUUACACUGUCUCCCUAAGAAGAUUCAUGAAACUAAAAUAAUAGUAAAGAUGCUAUUUAAAACUGUAAGACGAAAAGACCCUAUAGAGCUUGACUAUAAUCUAUAUUAAUACUAUAAGGAAAUAUAUCCUUAAAAUUAUAUAGGCUGGUAGUUUAGUUGGGGCGACUAUCUUUUAAAAUUAACAAAGAUAAGCAAAGUUAAUAUAAAACUUAUUGUAUAAAAAAUUAUUUUAACAAUUAUAAUAAUAGGCUAUAGUGACCCAUUAAUAUUUAGUAGAAAAAUUAAUGAUCAAUUGAUAAAAGCUACCUUAGGGAUAACAGGAUAAUUUUGCUCUAGAGAUCUUAUCGAAAGCAAAGUUUGUCACCUCUAUGUUGAAUUAAGAUAUCCUGAUAGUGCAGAAGCUAUCAAAGGUAGGUCUGU
rnacentral:rRNA from 1 species